GAUGAAGAACGUAGCGAAAUGCGAUAAGUAAUGUGAAUUGCAGAAUUCAGUGAAUCAUCGAAUCUUUGAACGCACAUUGCGCCCCCUGGUAUUCCGGGGGGCAUGCCUGUUCGAGCGUCAUUUCACCACUCAAGCCUCGCUUGGUAUUGGGCAACGCGGUCCGCCGCGUGCCUCAUAUCGACCGGCUGGGUCUUCUGUCCCCUAAGCGUUGUGGAAACUAUUCGCUAAAGGGUGUUCGGGAGGCUACGCCGUAAAACAACCCCAUUUCUAAGGUUGACCUCGGAUCAGGUAGGGAUACCCGCUGAACUUAAGCAUAUCAAUAAGCGGAGGA
rnacentral:misc_RNA from 1 species